rnacentral:rRNA from 1 species
GAUGAACGCUAGCGGCGGGCUUAAUACAUGCAAGUCGAGGGGCAGCACGGGUAGCAAUACCUGGUGGCGACCGGCAAACGGGUGCGGAACACGUACGCAACCUUCCCAUAACUGGUGAAUAGCCCUCCGAAAGGAGGAUUAAUACACCGUAACUUAACGAAGUGGCAUCACUUUGUUAAUAUAGGCUUCGGCCGGUUUUGGAUGGGCGUGCGCCUGAUUAGGUAGUUGGCGGGGUAACGGCCCACCAAGCCUGCGAUCAGUAACUGGUGUGAGAGCACGACCAGUCACACGGGCACUGAGACACGGGCCCGACUCCUACGGGAGGCAGCAGUAAGGAAUAUUGGUCAAUGGACGAAAGUCUGAACCAGCCAUGCCGCGUGAAGGAUUAAGGCCCUCUGGGUUGUAAACUUCUUUUAUCUGGGACGAAAAAGGGUAUUCUUACUCACUUGACGGUACCAGAGGAAUAAGCACCGGCUAACUCCGUGCCAGCAGCCGCGGUAAUGUAGACGU